rnacentral:rRNA from 1 species
GAUGAACGCUGGCGGCGUGCCUAAUACAUGCAAGUCGAGCGAAGCGGGGACGGGUGAGUAACACGUGGAUAACCUCCUAUAAGACUGGGAUAACUUCGGGAAACCGGAGCUAAACCGGAUACUUAUAGAUGGAUCCGCUCUGCAUUAGCUAGUUGGUAAGGUAACGGCUUACCAAGGCAACGAUGCAUAGCCGACCUGAGAGGGUGCGCCCCCCCACUGGAACUGAGAAACGGUCCAACCUCCUCCCCGCCGCUUGCUUUGGGUGUCGUCCGCUCUGGGCUAAAGCCUGACGGAGCAACGCCGCGUGAGUGAUGAAUGUCUGCGGAUCUUCCAACUCUGUUAUUUGGGAAGCGGUACCUAAUCAGAAAGCCACGGCUAACUACGUGCCAGCAGCCGCGGUAAUAC